UACAGAGGUCUCAAGCGUUGUUCGGAUUCAUUGGGCGUAAAGGGUGCGUAGGUGGCGCCGUAAGUCGGGUGUGAAAUUUCGGAGCUUAACUCCGAAACUGCAUUCGAUACUGCGGUGCUUGAGGACUGGAGAGGAGACUGGAAUUCAUGGUGUAGCAGUGAAAUGCGUAGAGAUGUGGAGGAACACCAGUGGCGAAGGCGACUCUUUGGCCUGUAACUGACGCUGAGGCGCGAAGGCCAGGGGAGCAAACGGG
rnacentral:rRNA from 1 species